rnacentral:lncRNA from 10 species
UUGGGAAGAAAACACAUUUCAUAAAUCCCUGUGGCUACAGAGAUUGCUGCAAUAGUUAUCAUCAUGCCUAAUGCCCCUGGAUUCCUGCAGACUGUUACACGACUCUGUUGACUCUGAGUCACCGGCACCUGCUGCUGUGAGGAACCUUUAGGUCCUCACUGCUGAUAAACCCAGCAUGAGAGUCGGGAGUGAUGGAUCCAAGAAGAUGAAAUGGCUGCCUUGGGCUCAUUGCAGGAAACAGAAAUCUACCUGGAAAACUGUCGCUCACCUAACAGAGUUGAGAAGGAUGUUAUGUCUUAUGUUCUUAAGAGAUGGCGUCUCACCAUGUUGCCCAGGCUACAUGCAAACUCCUGGGCUCAAGCGAUCCUCCUGCCUCAGCCUCCAAAAGCAGCUGGGACUACAGGAAUGUGCCACCAUACCUGUGCUCAAACUUUUUCAAUAACAGUGAUUCUGCAAGAGAAUCCACAAAAUGGACAAGAAUGGCCUUGAAGGAAAUACAGAUCUCAGAAGGGUAUUUUUAACAGAAAUGCCCUUGAAGGAAGCACAUGUCAUUCCUGGGAAAUUUAUGGUUGGCUUCACCACCAGCCUGCUUUAUUCAUUGUGGCUCCCCCUCUUUGCCCCGCCUAAGCCAUUGCUAUGCCUGGUUUCAAGCACGGACUCAGUCAACACUGGGUUCUGAAGAUUUUACUGGGGACGAGGAAGUCCAUGCAUCAACCAUACGCUUCAUUCCAGGAAUGGCCCCCUGAUAUUUCAUGUCUUGAGGCUAGUCAGGUCACUAAAAGGUAAGAACAAUGCCUAUAAACCAAUAACCCAGCCUGAUGUUCUGGAAUUAAGUCACAAUGAGGGACACUUGGACUACUAUGUGCCGAACACCUGUUCUAAGCCAUUCUCAACAUUCCUGAUUAUAAAUGCAACCUCCUAGUGAUUCUGGUUUUACAUCUAUGGGACUGUGUGAUCACAAGAGCAAAAAAGCUCUCAUGUAUCUGAAGACCAGGGUGGCCUAUAAACCUAGAACUAGCUCAGGACAAAGGAGAGAUCUCACCAGCCCAAAGAAAGCACCAGAAGGUCAAAUAGCUGGGAAAACCUGGGCAGGGGAGGCCCUCUCCAGAAAAAGUAGGCUGCUGGACCACACAGCCACAGAGACACAAUGAGAAAACAGACAAGCGCCCUACUCAAGAUCACAAGGACAACAGUUUUUCACUGAGAACUGGGCUAGGAAUAGGAAAAUUGGCAAUAGGCCAGUUGUCCCUAGAAUAAAUCAGGUAAAUUCUGCUCCAGAGAGGGCAGAGCUGGUGGUGCUGUUCUUCAGGGCAGCACAGCCUCUUUCUGCCACACCUUACUCAGCCAGGGCCAAGUUUGUAGACUGCAGCUGCUGGGUCUCCCGGCAGAUGUUCUGCUCCACUGUGCCACACUCAGCUACG